GGGAAGAAGAACCUGGAGGAGGUCCAGCAGAUGCUGCAGGUGGUGGAGCAGCUCAUGGCCACCCUCAAGAGCCCCAGCGGAUAACAUCCAGGAAAACCCCCGGGAAAAGCAGGAGCCGCCCAGGAAGUGCCUCCCGCAGCACGGAUGGCAGAGCCCGCCCAGGGCCACCCUCCCGCUGUCCCCGUGUCCCCAAAGCCACCCCGCCUGUCCCCUCGGGUGUACCCCCGCCUCCCGGCUGGAGCGGGACAACAGCCGGCCCCGAAUUCCGGGACAACUCGCCAGAA